CUUGCAUUUCUUUUAUAUAAAGGAGCACGGCAAGAAUCAUAAACAUUAUAGCCUGCUGUAGUGGUUAUGGUGACAGUAGUACCCUGGCGCAUACCUACUGAAGUUCCAGGAGGGAUAAGCCAAAUGGCAAAUGAUUUAGGUAAACUAGAAAAAUGGUCAGAAUUGUGGCAACUGACAUUUAAUGUGGAUAAGUGCAAGAUAAUGCAUCUUGGAUGUAAAAACCCAAGUGCAGAGUACAGAAUAUUUGAUAGAGUCCUAACCUCAACAGAUGAGGAAAGGGAUUUAGGGGUGAUUAUUUCUGAUGACUUAAAGGUAGGCAGACAAUGUAAUAGAGCAGCAGGAAAUGCUAGCAGAAUGCUUGGUUGUCUAGGGAGAGGUAUUAGCAGUAGAAAGAGGGAAGUGCUCAUGCCAUUGUACAGAACACUGGUG